CCCAAAGUGCCUGUGAUUUGCUGCUAAUUUCUACUUUCUCAUCAUGAAGCUUUCUUAUAUUGCUUUCUUAUACUGCAAAUUCUCAGCAAGCUUAUGCCCUAUAUUUGGAAUUUCAUGUUUUAAAAGUACACAAUUUUUGGAAGCAUAAAUUUGUGGAGGUGGGAAGAAAUAUUCCUAGGAAAGCGAGAAAAUGGCACCCUUAUUCCAAAACAAGUUCACAGUUCCUGUGAGUUCAUGUGCUUUCAUCAGCAAGGAAACCCAGUGUGGAUUUGUAAUUUCACUGAUAAUGGGGAUUUUAAAACCAGAGCAGAAAUGCGGCUUCAGGCUCAGUAGACCGAACCCAGCAGUGCACAUAUCAUGCUGCCCAAUGUGACCCAUUGGUGGCAAAAAAACAUUGAACUAAUUCUUAAAUGCAGCAGAGUGCAGAGAAACCCACUGCAGUGAUGAGCUUCCUCAGCACAAACCAACGCUCGGUAGCCCUCAGCACACACCGUCUCCGGUCUUCACAUGUGAUGGGAAAACAAGCGACUUCACCCGUGCUGCU
rnacentral:lncRNA from 1 species